rnacentral:hammerhead_ribozyme from 1 species
GCACUGCUGAGGAGUCCCACAAUAGGACGAAACGAUCAUUCAGUGC